rnacentral:rRNA from 1 species
UACGAAGGGUGCGAGCGUUGUUCGGAAUAACUGGGCGUAAAGGGUUUGUAGGCUGAAAUGUAAGUCAAGUGUGAAAUCCCCGAGCUAAACUUGGGACGUGCAUUUGAAACUGUGUUUCUUGAGUAUCGUAGAGGGUGGUGGAAUUGUAGGUGUAGGAGUGACAUCCGUAGAGAUCUGCAGGAACAUCGGAGGCGAAGGCGACCACCUGGCCGAUUACUGACGCUGAGGAACGAAAGCGUGGGGAGCAAACAGG